GAUGAACGCUGGCGGCGUGCUUAACACAUGCAAGUCGAACGGUGAACACGGAGCUUGCUCUGUGGGAUCAGUGGCGAACGGGUGAGUAGCACGUGAGCAACCUGCCCCUGACUCUGGGAUAAGCGCUGGAAACGGCGUCUAAUACUGGAUAUGUGACGUGACCGCAUGGUCUGCGUUUGGAAAGAUUUUUCGGUUGGGGAUGGGCUCGCGGCCUAUCAGCUUGUUGGUGAGGUAAUGGCUCACCAAGGCGUCGACGGGUAGCCGGCCUGAGAGGGUGACCGGCCACACUGGGACUGAGACACGGCCCAGACUCCUACGGGAGGCAGCAGUGGGGAAUAUUGCACAAUGGGCGCAAGCCUGAUGCAGCAACGCCGCGUGAGGGAUGACGGCCUUCGGGUUGUAAACCUCUUUUAGCAGGGAAGAAGCGAAAGUGACGGUACCUGCAGAAAAAGCGCCGGCUAACUACGUG
rnacentral:rRNA from 1 species